rnacentral:snRNA from 1 species
AUACUUAAGUGGCUUGGGAGACACCACAAUAACGCAAUUGUGUGUCACAAUAAGUGUGAGGCUUAUCUUCUGAACUCCAGGUGUGCUGACACUUUAGAUUUCCCCAAAGGCAUGAAACUCCACAACAUACUUUGUGGUAGUAGGAGACUAUAUUUAUGCUCUCACCUU